rnacentral:lncRNA from 1 species
GCAUCAAGAUUUUUAAACAUGAUUUUAUACUUUAAAGUAUGCAAUAAAUUUGAUACAUUAAUCUUGAUAUAUAUUUACCAUACAAGAAGAUUUUUAAAAACAAUGUCAAAUGGCUUAUAAUCAAAACAAAUUGUGUUAAAUUUGGUAAUUCUGUAGGAUCAUUUCAGCAUUAUAAAUAAAAAAAUGAAAACAUUCCAUUUAAAUUUGAGUUAGGGUGAAAUGUGUUUGUUUUCCAAUUUUAUGUCUAUGUUAAAGUUUGCUUGAUUACAGAGAAAAUACAGGUUAAAAUUAAGUGCUUAUAAUUUCUAGAAAAAUAGAACAUCCUUGCUUUAUGAAGAUGACCCAAUUCACUCUCUACCUGUAGAGUGCAUUUGGGACACUUUUCUACCUGGGAUGAGAGGCUGUGUGGCUUGAUACAGGUACCCUGCAGACCAUCAGCCACAACUGGAGAUGAAGGGGAUGAUGGUCUGUCGCUGGGAGCUGGUGGCAGUGUCUGGUUUCAUUAAUAUCUUAUUUUAUAUCUUGUCACAGAACCAUCCAAAUGAGUAUCAGUCAGAUGAAAAGCAAGCUUUAUAUUUUCUCAAACUCUGAUCUGCUAUAUUUCACAGAAAUGAUAAACAAUUAUAUGGCAAAAUCCUGUGUGAACAAAAAUAGUUUUCACAUUAAGUUCUCUACAAUGAGGACAUUUCAAAAUGCAUUGGCCCAUAUUAAUAUUACUUUGCUGAUGUGGAGAAAAUGAAUUCUGAUGGCAUAUAUAAACACACACAUACAUAUAUAGUCAACAUCAGAGAUGUUCCUACUUCUUUGUUAGCAGACAUUUUAUUUUUAAAGGAAGAGAUUCUUCUUUGGGAGUGUAGCUAGUGUGCAUACCUGAUUUGAUAAAAUCUGAUGGUCAACACAAAGCACAAAGCAUCUUCUGGUCAACACAAAGCACAAAGCAGCUCUCUGAAACUUACAACAAUCUUCCCUGACAAUGAGAGUGGGUAUGAUUGUUCUUUGAUGAAAGAACAGGAGCCCAGAGAGGUUAAGUAAGUUGCUUCAGUUUAAACAGUUGGUAAGUGAUAAAACUAGUACUCUAUCCGGUGGUCUUGCCUGAAUGCUAGUUAACACAGGUGAAAAUAAAACACAGAGUGCACCAAUCUGUGAAUGACCUUCCCCAAGCUGUGCUGCAGAGGUGGUGUGUGGAAAGCAGUUUUGCUACUUUGUCACACUGGAGAUCCUUACCAGGUGCUGAUAAGUACCCAUAGUGUCAUACCCCACAAACUUAAACCAGUAAUCAGAAGCACUGUUUACAACUCUCCGAGUGCUUGCUUCAGCAGCACAUAUACUAAAAUUACAACUCUCUGAGUAUACAUAUGUAUUUAAGAAGAUUUAUAACAUAUAUUUACAAUUACUCCUCAAUCACCAAGAUGCCAUAUUAGAAACAGGUUUAACUUUUUGCAAGAGCAUUUUCUAUGUAAUCAUUCUAAUAUACGUAUGAAACAUAAAUACAAGUCUUGGCACACUUCAUCUUCGCAGGUGUACAGAACACAUUCCCUUUUGCCUCCUUCUGCUCACUGCUACUUUUGACUGUUUACAAACUCAUUUACAUAUCUGUAAAUUCCUUGAGGUGAGGACUGAGCUAGAUUUCUUUGAAGCUGACAGCUCUCACCCCCAGGGCCUUGCACAGGGCUAGGCACACAGCAGGCAUUCAGUACACAUUUGUUGAAUGCAUGCACAUGAUUUCUACAUACUUCAAUUUGGUUAAAGUAGGAUUCUACUUGUCGC